rnacentral:rRNA from 1 species
CCUACGGGAGGCAGCAGUGAGGAAUAUUGGUCAAUGGACGCAAGUCUGAACCAGCCAUGCCGCGUGCAGGAUGACGGCUCUAUGAGUUGUAAACUGCUUUUGUACGAGGGUAAACCCCGAUACGUGUAUCGGGUUGAAAGUAUCGUACGAAUAAGGAUCGGCUAACUCCGUGCCAGCAGCCGCGGUAAUACGGAGGAUCCGAGCGUUAUCCGGAUUUAUUGGGUUUAAAGGGUGCGUAGGCGGUUUGAUAAGUUAGAGGUGAAAUGUCGGGGCUCAACCUCUUCGAGCCGUUGAAACUGGUUUUCUUGAGUGAGCGAGAAGUAUGCGGAAUGCGUGGUGUAGCGGUGAAAUGCAUAGAUAUCACGCAGAACUCCGAUUGCGAAGGCAGCAUACCGGCGCUCAACUGACGCUCAUGCACGAAAGUGUGGGUAUCGAACAGGAUUAGAUACCCGGGUAGUC